AGGGCCGUAACUACCUAUGAGGCAGGGGAGGCAGUUGCCUCCCCUGAAUUUUCUACACCAAAUUUUUUUUUUGAAGUAAAAAAAUAAAAUAUUGACAAUAUGAACACGAAGAACUUGAAUUUAUAUUAUAAACAACACAAGUUAACAGUUUUAACAGUGUUAUCAUGAUACUUGAUAUGUCUGUCAUUUUUCGGAUUUUUGAUCGAAAGUAAACCGUUUCAGUAUUUGUUUUAUUAUUUUUUUCGUGUGGCCGUCCGUCUGUUAUUCAGUAUUGAGGGGGUCAGUAUUCGUAUGAGAACACAUAUGAAACUUUGCUUUCGAUAAUUUUGAAUAAAAACUUAACUAUUCACAUUUAUUUUGGGGCUCAAUUAUUUAAGCAGAGGAAGUUCCUUUUAUAUUGUGAAUCUUUUAAGAUAUCGAAAAUUCGUUACCGGCUGAAUCAGCUGUUGGAUCCUUUUUUUUAAAUUUCCCGAUCGUACGAGAACAUUAUGGUCAAUGCCUUAGUAGGUAAACAC
rnacentral:lncRNA from 1 species